UGGCCUCGACCUCAAAAAUCCNCCUGCC
rnacentral:piRNA from 1 species